rnacentral:rRNA from 1 species
UACGAAGGGGGCUAGCGUUGUUCGGAAUUACUGGGCGUAAAGCGCAUGUAGGCGGAUAUUUAAGUCAGGGGUGAAAUCCCAGAGCUCAACUCUGGAACUGCCUUUGAUACUGGGUAUCUUGAGUAUGGAAGAGGUGAGUGGAAUUCCGAGUGUAGAGGUGAAAUUCGUAGAUAUUCGCAAGAACACCAGUGGCGAAGGCGGCUCACUGGCCCGAUACUGACGCUGAGGUGCGAAAGCGUGGGGAGCAAACAGG